CUAUUAAUGAGAAUCUUUCUCUCUUAUCA
rnacentral:tRNA from 1 species